rnacentral:rRNA from 1 species
AUUGAACGCUGGCGGCAGGCCUAACACAUGCAAGUCGAACGAGUGGCGGACGGGUGAGUAAUGUCUGGGAAUCUGCCCGAUGGAGGGGGAUAACCACGGGAAACAGUAGCAAAUACCGCAUACUAUCGUAUGUGCACAGAUGGGAUUAGCUAGUAGGUGGGGUAACGGCUCACCUAGGCGACGAUCCCUAGCUGGUCUGAGAGGAUGACCAGCCACACUGGAACUGAGACACGGUCCAGACUCCUACGGGAGGCAGCAGUGGGGAAUAUUGCACAAUGGGCGCAAGCCUGAUGCAGCCAUGCCGCGUGUAUGAAGAAGGCCUUCGGGUUGUAAAGUACUUUCAGCGAGGAGGCGUUACUCACAGAAGAAGCACCGGCUAACUCCGUGCCAGCAGCCGCGGUAAUUC